UAAAAAAUAACAGGGCCUUGAACUUUGAGUGCAAGACCGGUGCAAUUCCGGCGCAGUACCGCCUGCUGUAAUGGGGCAAAUACCCCGAAGUCAGAACUUCAAAGUUCGGUUUUAGAGG
rnacentral:ncRNA from 1 species